rnacentral:lncRNA from 1 species
AUGCAUGCUCUUCUUUAUCAUUUCCCCUAUUCCCUGGACAUUUUUCUUGUAGGUCCCAGAGACCACAUUGGAAGUAACUGCUAUCAAAGUGAGGUGUAUGCUGUUCUUCUUUUUCUGCAUAGAGGAAGGACAACACACUUGAAUAUUCAGUCUCAGGUUGGGAAUCAGGAAAUCAAAGAGACGUUCCCUUGUGAAGACGGAUGUAAUGAGCAAGGCAUUGUGCAUGAGUGAUUUCUGUUUUACAUCCUGAUUCAAGCUAAACAUUUAAAGAUGAAGCCCAGAGUUCAAAGACUGAAGGAUGGAAAAAUUAAUUGUGUGGAAGUAUAAGUAGUAUUACAUUUCAUAAAACUCAUGUUAUUAGGUUUCUCAGUAAAGAAAAAUAAAAAAGAUACCUCACAUAUCUCACAUUCGAUCAUUUAUGAACUGAAUCAGUAAGCAAUACUGACAAGACAAAAGUCACUUGCACCAAAAUGCUGUAUAAGCAAAGAAACGCAUGCAAUUUUGCAGUGUGUUCACAGCAUAUUUUGCCAGCAGAAAAGGGUCUCAGUCUUCUGGGUGAUUCACUUGCUGCAAUUUGGCUUCACUUCAGGGGUGAGGGUUUCAGAAUUACUCACAGCCAUGCUAACGAAUCGGAAGUCAUAUAACGAAACAUGUUGCAGCUUUGCCCCCUUUGAACCCACAGACGUUCUGAGCAGAUGACUUAAAAAUGAGACCUUGCCACUAUUUUUUUUUCCAGCUUGAUUCAAGUUUCAUGCCAGUUUUGCACUAGUCCUUACUUUAAACUUAUUUGUUUGCUCAUGGCUGAUAUGAACGAUGACUCAAUAAAACAAUCUCAGUGCUUCACUGUGAAGAGACAAGUGGGCUUUAAUUAUUGAUGAUACAGUGCUCUUAGUCACUACCCAAGCCUUGCCAGCAGCCACAGAGAUUUUUCAAUAAUACCUUAAAGCAGAGUGUUGGGGGCAUGGCCUGAAUGGGACACAGCAGAGCAAACCAGAGGGAAGCGUUUUCUCUAGGGCAGUGUUGCUCAAACUUCUAACAGGUGUAACUCCCUGACGCAUUUGGAUAAUGCUUUCAGACAUGUGGUCUGUGUUUUUUUUUUUUUUUUUUUUUUUUUUUUUUUUUUGUGUGUGUGUGUGUGUUUUUUUUUUUUUUUGGGGGUGGUCCUUUGAGGAACCAGGAGUUGAACUCGAUGAUCCUUGUGGGUCCCUUCCAACUCAGGAUAUUUUAUGAUUCCCAUUUAAGUCUACAGAUUCUUUUCCCUCCCUACCUUGACUUUCUACCUAAGGAAGAAGUAUGGUAAAUGAGAAGGACAUGCAUUUGUUGGUAGGAGAUGGGAAAUAGUGAUGAUCCUGUCCUGAACUGCCUGGCUGGUGUGAACACUUGCAGCUGGGAACUUCUCACUGCUUUGCUGCAGAGGAGUUUGGUUUUUGGCCAAACCCGAGUACUAGAAACACAUCUCCAAGAGAUCUUACUCUCAAGGGAACAUCAUCAUUGAGGUCAUCAUCGUUGCAGUGGGAGAAAACAGUGGAAAACCAUUACAUUCAAUUUGCUCUGACUGUACAGAAAUGCGUUCCUCAAUGUGCUUUUAGUUCAUCUUUUCCAUAUGUACUUAGCUAGUUCUGACUUUUACAGUCCUGAGACAACUACAGAGAGCCAAGUGGUACUACUUUUUUAUGACCUUGAGUGUUUUCAGUACAAGCUCAAUGCACAUUUGUUGUUAGAACUGCAUAUAUAUGUGUGGAAGCAUGCUGCCUUUCCUGAAACUAGACUCUAACACAAGAGAGCAGAAAAACAAAACAAAACAAAACAAAACAAAACAAAACAAAAAAGCCCUCAGGCAGUCUGUAUAUCUAAAACACUUAUGAAAGGAAAGAUUUUAGAGCUAAAUUCCAUUAAUUUUAAAGCCUCUGAAUGUGUUCUUUUUCCUUCCACAACUGUCAUUAAAAAGCUACUACUCAACCUGCAUGGAGAUGGAUAGUUUCCUAAGGGAGUAAAAUGUUUGCCCACCAAAUCCUCCAGCAGAAGCUGGAGAGGUCAAAGGAGAGACUGCCUACACUACUGGUAGGGAUCCUGUUGGCAUAGUUGCCUCAGUCUUGCAGGGCUGGGAGCUGUGGUAGAAAAUACCUGCUGGGAUCUAGUUCAGUGCAGAUGGGCUUGCAAGACAACUGUACCUGUGAAGUCCACACAAAGCUUCUCUGCCUCACCAAAUUCUGCUUCCAGGGGUAGAUGCUGAGCCCCGGGGCAUAUCACAUGAAGUCACCAGACUGGUGAUCGCAGCACAGAUGUCACAUCUUCAUUCUGCCUUCAUGGAUGGUGCCUCCUCAUUAGAUCUGGCUGGAGCUCUGCAGGCACCAAGGCGGUGUGAGGCUCAUUUUUGCUGUGGGUUGUUUUUCUCAGUAUUGCAGUCAUCUCUUUGUGGGUAUUGAGGAGGAUGAGCAGCUCUUGCAUGGGAAUGUAGUUUUCUCCUUGUCCCUCACAGGACCACUGGUGACAUCCUCUCAAGUCCUCAUGUUUUCUGAGAUGGGGAAGCUUGGCAUAUUUUUCUCCAGUUUUCAACUACAUGACCACCUUUGUUUGUUCCAUGGAGCCUCCUUAGCCAAACGAAUGUUUUUAUUAAUACUCAUCAGCAAAAAUAUAAACAGAUAAUGAUUUAUGUCCACAGGCUCUGUUCUGAUUAUUUGACCUUUAGUUUCUAUUGACAACAGCAAAGUAA